GAGCCCGUUUGCUGCCUGUGCAGGUACUGAAGGGCAGGAGCUGGGAGGUGGCAGAGUCAGUUUCCUUGCCAGUCGUAAAGAUGCAAUUAUCACCCCUUGUUUGACCGAAGACUGUAAAAGGAGACUCAAUGACUUUCCUUAAGCUCUUGAGUGUGAUGGGGAGAUGGAGCUGGGAGGGUUUCCCAUGAAGUCCCAAAAAGACUUUGGAAAUGGUGAGUUGAAGUCUUCCAGACCCUUCCCAGCUCUUUGGGACAACUGGCAGCAGAGGUA
rnacentral:lncRNA from 1 species